ACAGAAAAAGGGAGGUGGUUUAAUCUGAGAGUUUUAAGACUGAGCAGCCUUAACUCAGUGCCGCCGACCUUCUAUUUUUAUGUUUGAGGUGUGGGUUUCCCCACUUGCCUCGUUCUGACACUUUGCCCUGCGCCGAGUGCGCAGCGCUCCGGUUUCUGGCCCGUACAGCCCCGCGCUCAAAUCCUGUGCGGGGCUUUGGCUGGCUCCCGGUGCCGCUGGGGAACGGCUGUGCUACCUGGGAGACAUCCCGGCUCAUAUUCUGUUACAUCCCCUCUGUCAAGCAAUUUUAGUCCAUUUUAAAUAAAGGUAAGCUAAGGAGAAUAAUAUUAUGGCAGUCUCCGACUCCCUCGGGGCUCAGACGCUUGUGUCCUUAUAAUGCUUUAUGAUUUCCCACAGGCUUAGACUAUAACCCCGCAUAAAGGAUUUCAAGUAAUGUGUAUCUUGCCAUCUAAAUCAGUAACUGAUCACACAACUGUCUCAGAAAUAAAGCAAUCUGGAAUACGUAGCUAAUUGUGUGCCAAGUACUGACAUAGUUUAUACUACUCCCUUCUAAAAAAACCCCAAAAAACCUACGGGUUUAUUUAAAAACAUGCGAGAUAGUUAAAGUAACAAUAAAAAUCAGUCAGUUAGUGGGGAUUUUGAAGGGGAAACUGGUAUGCAGCUACCCCACUAGCACCUGCCUGAUGAAAGAAUGGAUGUAUCACCUUUUAUCUCAGAAAUUAAAAAGCUAACUUAAA